UUGGCAUUCUGUCCACCUCCCAGCUUACUGAGGACUGAGGAGGGGGCCAAAGUGCCAAAC
rnacentral:pre_miRNA from 1 species